rnacentral:rRNA from 1 species
AGAGUUUGAUCAUGGCUCAGAUUGAACGCUGGCGGCAUGCCUUACACAUGCAAGUCGAACGGUAACGCGGGGCAACCUGGCGACGAGUGGCGAACGGGUGAGUAAUGCAUCGGAACGUGCCCAGUAGUGGGGGAUAGCCCGGCGAAAGCCGGAUUAAUACCGCAUACGCCCUGAGGGGGAAAGUGGGGGAUCUUAGGACCUCACGCAAUUGGAGCGGCCGAUGUCGGAUUAGCUAGUUGGUGGGGUAAAGGCCUACCAAGGCGACGAUCCGUAGCUGGUCUGAGAGGAUGAUCAGCCACACUGGGACUGAGACACGGCCCAGACUCCUACGGGAGGCAGCAGUGGGGAAUUUUGGACAAUGGGGGCAACCCUGAUCCAGCCAUGCCGCGUGAGUGAAGAAGGCCUUCGGGUUGUAAAGCUCUUUCAGGUGGAAAGAAAUGGCGUGCUCUAACAUAGCGCGUUGAUGACGGUACCACCAGAAGAAGCACCGGCUAACUACGUGCCAGCAGCCGCGGUAAUACGUAGGGUGCGAGCGUUAAUCGGAAUUACUGGGCGUAAAGCGUGCGCAGGCGGUUCGCUAAGACAGGUGUGAAAUCCCCGGGCUUAACCUGGGAACUGCGCUUGUGACUGGCGAGCUAGAGUACGGCAGAGGGGGGUGGAAUUCCACGUGUAGCAGUGAAAUGCGUAGAGAUGUGGAGGAACACCGAUGGCGAAGGC